UGUAUUCCUAGUUUCUUUUACAAUAUACUUCAGGAGUUUUAUUCCAUAAUUUGAGUGCCAAUUAAAAGUAAUUGUACCCCGAAUCCAAGCCAACUCGAUAGACCACUAAUUGUGACAUUAUUGCUGCCAAAAACAUUCCCCAAGAAAAAACACAUACUGCAACCUAAAGCAACACUGACUCACACAAGAAAAAAACAUAUACUAGAUAACUUUGAAUGAACUCGUACAGCUUUGAAGUAAGUAAACAGUGCAGCCUCAUUCUCCUCAAAUCUAAAAAUUCCAUCAUUAAAUUUGUAAUCUGACCUUUUUGAAUUCUUAUCAUGAUAUAACAGUUGAAGAAUGCAACUUUUUUUGGUGGUGGGUUUCCUCCAGAGAUUAUCACAUAAGAAUAGAAGCACAGCAUUGCAGCACUGAUGACAGCAUAAAACCCUGUUGGAAUUAAUUUCUUUGUCAAUGAAUAUGCUUGAAAAUUCUUCCACAAAAGGGCUGCUGAGAGUACAGCUUGUCCUAGCACAAAUGGCACACUAGACUUUCCUUGCCUCCAUAUCUUCAAGCUAAAGAUGCUAAGGGCUAGCAAAGCGCCUCCAAAUAAAACACCCGUGCUUAGGGUUGUAGGAUUUCUAGAAAAUACAAAACCAAGAAGGCCCCCACUUAGAACAAGACCACCAUAAGGGAUCCCAAAACAGAAGUCGUGGAUUUUUGCUGCGCCAUAUGCCUUUCCUGGAUCUGUAAUUCCUUUUUCUUCUAAACCAUGAGGUUCUGCUGGCCCUUCCACGUAUGGUUUCGAUUCAUCAGCGGUAUAACUAAGCCUAGUUUUGAUCUCUGAACUAGAAUUUUCGGUACCUCGUGCUCCUUCAAGGCUCAUAGCAAUCCAUAACUUGGAUCUAGUAGAAAGAGGAGAUGAUUGACGAUAGAGCUGCAGGUUGCGGUUGAUUGAAGAGAAGCACGACAGCUGAGAAACUGUGGGUGCUACUGCUGCCAUGGUUGAGAUCGGGAUCACAGGGGCUAGGCCACUAGGGCAUGAGGCUUUGCGUUGACUAUAAAUAAAAUGGGGUUUAAUUAAAGCUGAAAAUUCCAACUUACUUUAUAAAAGGUAGUUGUUAAUUAAAUGAUUUUGUCAAUUAUAAUAUAUAAUAGGAUAAUUUUUGCGUAUGCAGAUGCGAAUAUGAUAUUCGAUGAAAUGCUUGAAAGGGUUAUGGAUUGUUUACGGUGAUUGUUUAUGAGAUUUAUGAAAUUGGGACACUGAAAAGAAG
rnacentral:misc_RNA from 1 species